rnacentral:rRNA from 1 species
UUUCCGGUUGAUCCUGCCGGACCCCACUGCUAUCGGGAUAGGACUAAGGCAUGCUAGUUGAGCGCUUCCAGCCAACACGGGAGCGCAGCGCACAGCUCAGUAACACGUGGCUAAUCUGCCCUUGGGACCGGAACACCCCCGGGAAACUGGGGCUAAUUCUCGAUAGGUGAAGAACUCUGGAAUGAGUCUUUGCCAAAAAGACGUUUGCGUUAUGCUCGUAAACGUCGCCCAAGGAUGAGGCCGCGACCGAUCAGGUUGUUGGUGAGGUAAUGGCUCACCAAGCCUUUUACCGGUGCGGGCCGUGAGAGCGGGAGCCCGGAGAUGGGCACUGAGACAAGGGCCCAGGCCCUACGGGGCGCAGCAGCCGCGAAAACUUUGCAAUACACGAAAGUGUGACAGGGCUAUCCCGAGUGCCAUCCGCUGAGGAAGGCUUUUACCCAGUCUAGAACGCUGGGGGAAUAAGGAGAGGGCAAGUCUGGUGUCAGCCGCCGCGGUAAUACCAGCUCUCCGAGUGGUGUGGAUGUUUAUUGGGCCUAAAGCAUCCGUAGCUGGCUAAGUUAGUCCCUUGUUAAAUCCACCGAAUUAAUCGUUGGAUUGCGGGGGAUACUGCUUGGCUAGGGGACGAGAGAGGCAGACGGUAUUUCCGGGGUAGGGGUGAAAUCCUAUAAUCCCGGGAAGACCACCAGUGGCGAAGGCUGUCUGCUAGAACGCGCCCGACGGUGAGGGAUGAAAGCCGGGGGAGCGAACCGGAUUAGAUACCCGGGUAGUCCCAGCUGUAAACGAUGCAGGCUAGGUGUUUGGACGGCCACGUGCCGUUCUAGUGCCGCAGGGAAGCUGUUAAGCCUGCCGCCUGGGGAGUACGAUCGCAAGAUUGAAACUUAAAGGAAUUGGCGGGGGAGCACCACAAGGGGUGAAGCUUGCGGUUUAAUUGGAGUCAACGCCGGG